rnacentral:rRNA from 1 species
AUUGAACGCUGGCGGCAUGCCUUACACAUGCAAGUCGAACGGCAGCGCGGACUUCGGUCUGGCGGCGAGUGGCGAACGGGUGAGUAAUGCAUCGGAACGUACCUUUCAGUGGGGGAUAACGUAGCGAAAGUUACGCUAAUACCGCAUAUUCUGUGAGCAGGAAAGCAGGGGAUCGCAAGACCUUGCGCUGAUUGAGCGGCCGAUGUCAGAUUAACUAGUUGGUGAGGUAAAGGCUCACCAAGGCGACGAUCUGUAGCGGGUCUGAGAGGAUGAUCCGCCACCCUGGGACUGAGACACGGCCCAGACUCCUACGGGAGGCAGCAGUGGGGAAUUUUGGACAAUGGGGGCAACCCUGAUCCAGCCAUGCCGCGUGAGUGAAGAAGGCCUUCGGGUUGUAAAGCUCUUUCGGCCGGGAAGAAAUCGCAUGGGUUAAUACCCUGUGUGGAUGACGGUACCGGAAUAAGAAGCACCGGCUAACUACGUGCCAGCCGCCGCCGUAAAAC